GAUGUUUCUCUCAGUCCUGAGAAAGAGGGAGUCCCUGAAGAAGUCCUUCAACAAACUCAGACUCAGCAGCUUUCAGUAGGAGAUCAUAUUCAGAGUGCAGAACUUCCCAAGAGUCUAACUGGACCUGAUGGACACAGUGGUCAGCAGCAGUUGGUGUGCUGUUAGACAGAGUGACCCACCAUGGAGUCUGACAGGCAGACUGACCAGCAGGGGGAGCCACAGCCCACCUCAGCCCCUCCCAGCAGCCUCCUGGACCUCCACCCUCCCACACUGAUCAAUAAAACUCCCACUACUGAUCCUGGAGUGUGGAGCUGGGAGGCGUGCAGGAACGCUGCUGUGGGUUUUCUCACUGGCCAUGUUCCUGCUGCACCAUUACUCUCUGUACACUGUGAUAAAGAGUCCAGGAGAAUCAGCUGGAGCUUCAUUCCCCACUGCACUUAUUACACUGUUUACACUCCCAUUACUUCAAUGACACACUCUGAUACACUGACAGAUCAGGAUAGCUGACUCACAUCCUGGAGGCAGCAGCACUAAAGUAAGAGGUGAAUCCAGACCAGUGAUCUCUUGCAGUUCAUCAUGCUGGAGGUCAGUGAAAGCAACUGUCCUGAUAGACAAGUUUGGUAUAAAUAAUAGUUCCAGUCAACAAGACAGAGGAAGGUUUAGAUGCUUUAUUUGAUUCAAGGUUAUGCUGACACCAAGAUUACCUCUAGUUUCACCAAAGAAUUCUAUGAGGCUUCAUCCUCUUGGGCAGUAUUUUUAACCUAGUUCCCUGAUAAUGCAUAUUUCUUUCACCUGGAGAACGGCAUUACAUCUCAGAAAACCUGGUUCAAAACUGUAAUUAACACUGAAAUUUGUCUGGUGUCUAAGAGUCCAAAAGGCAUAACUUUAAACCAAUAAAUGCCAUAUGAUAUAAA